CUUGCCUGUGGCACUUGGCGCCCUCUCUGUGACUGUGUGUGUGUGUUCCGUCGCUGUCCUGCAAGGUCCUCACAGUGUCCCGGUGGAGGGCCCAGGGGUGACGUUGGUGAGUUUUUCUUCUUGCAAGAGGAGAGGCACUGUGGCAGUGAAGGGAAAGCAAUGGCUGGUCACGGACCACAUGCCUGGAGGUACCCCUCGCUCCCGGGCAUGCUCAGCUUGGCUCCGGCUCCAGAAGGUGUGUGGGCUUCAUCACGCAGGUGUUGCGGGGAAUGGAUGAGUCCGCUGGUGGGAAGCGCUCUGUAAGAUGGAAGCUUUGGAAGCUCCCCCACCAGACCCAUUUCUGGAUCCAUGGACCUCUUCCACCCGGGGGUGCUGGUUGAGAAUCCAGAGAAGGAGGCCCCGAGCCCUCACUGCACACGGAUGGCCUUCCUCCUCCUCUGGGUGCUCCAUCCCUGUGGGAGGCAGCCAGGACCAGGACUCAGGCCCUCCUUAGGAUGCCUACACUGUGGGCUUUGGGGCCAGGCGCCUAGCCAGGGGCUGUGCAGGAAGCAGAGAAUCCUCUGUACCCCAGAUGUAUUGGUUUUCCCCACGUCGAGCAAUUCAACGACCCCAGCUGGGGAGCCUACGAUUUAACUCAAUUCUGACAGUAUCUACCUGGAGCAGAGACGGCACUGCACAGGUACCAGGCGGGAACCCAUGGCCCCAGGAUGACCUUGGCCUUCAAUUAGGAAAAUCCGGCUCCAGCAGCCCAAGUAGCUUGAUUACCAUAUAUGGACUAAUUUGAGACUGGCUCACACGGGCCCAGCUGCAGCUCAGCCCCUAACUCCUUAAAUUUUACCCCAAACCUUGGAUUGGGGAGACAGUUUGGGAGCUUUGCCUCCUGUCUCCCUGCCGGUUGACCUCGCAAUAAAGCUC
rnacentral:lncRNA from 1 species